GUUUUUCCACCGUGUGUGUGACGCGUAACCGAAACGAAGAGAAACGACUAUCGGCGUCGUCACUCCGAUCGCGAUUACGAUAAAGCGUUGUGUGUUAUGCGUAGCUGUUACGUUUGAAGCAAAGGGCGGAUCCAAUACUUUCACUUGAAAAGUUUUACACCUGUUACCUGGUCCGUGGAAACCCGGAGUUUGGACAAGUGGAGUGACACGCACAAAAAAUAUAAAUAAG